rnacentral:lncRNA from 1 species
AUCCUUUGCCUUUUGUGACCUCAUAGUGGAUCAUGAACACUUUUUUUCACCUGGUGUUCGAGUGAAACACACUAGGCAAAUGCUCUACUACUGAGCUAUACUCUUGGCUCUCAUGAACGCUUUUUUAAAGCCAGCUGAUGAUGUAAGAUCAAGUUCUCAAGAGAGAACUCUGCAUGUCAAGGAGUGUGACCAACUCCCACGGGAAGAGCUUGGAAAGGGGCCCAGUGAGAACCUGCAGCUUUGGUGGAUCACAGCGCUCCCUUCCUAUAUCCACACUCCUCAUGGUGGUGAAAGCUAUGGCAAGUGAUGUUGAGAUAUGUCUGCCAUGAUGUGCAAGACAUGGUUAUCCUUCAAGGAGAGAUGCCAGAAAUAUGACAGAAAUGCCAGCGUCCCUGUCACUGGUCAGGUGGCUAAUUAAAUUUAGAUGCAACACUUUUAUAGUUCAAAGCUGACUUCCUGCCUAUAAUAGCAGCUCACCUAUGUGAUAAUCAGUCAAUGAUGGCCAAUUAGUUUCAUCUACUCUUGCUCGGGGACCCCAACUGGAUUUUGUGGCAUCUGCCAAAUAAAGGAAGUGGGAAGGCAUUGCCUUCAUCAUCAGUCCUGCCUAAUGUCAUCUCCACAAUCCCUCUUCCUCCACACCUCCCAUCCAACCACCCAGCCAAGAUUUGCAUUCACAUUCAGGAAGAUUUUGCUAAAAGAAAGAAAUGGUACAAAAUGGUAAAGGAUUCUGCAGGUUGUUUUACACACACACAGAGCCAGUGUUAUCACUCCAGUCAAGUCCUGUGGAGAAGCCUCAGCAAGCAGGGCCAGCCUUUGUGCAUCUGGACAUUCUCCUGAGUUUCCUUUUUGACCGUGAGCUCCUCCACAGCAGGGAUCCUGAGUAUCUGACUCAUCACAGAGAGAAGACUGCUUCUAUCUUGCAAGACACAGGUACUACUGGUUCAGGUUUCUGGGCCCUGACUCUGCUUCUCCUCCCAGAGGAUGAAGGAGCCUUGCUGACACUGAGUCUACACAAGGACAAGGAGGAGUAAUGAUUGUAAUGGUCCCUUAAAUGAAAGCAGAUUGCUAGUGUGUGUUCUUCGAGGUGUGCCUAUAAGGGCAGAGCUAAGGCAAGAACAGAGGUUUCCAGACCAGCCCAGACCUCAGCCAACUGUGCCUAGGGAGGCAGUCUUGCUGACUCGCUGUGGGCUCUGGGCCAAAGGGUCUCUGCUGAGACUCGCCACUCCUGCUCCUACCCACAUGGCCUGCUCACGCCCCCAAAAAUGUACAAGUUAGUAAUUUCGGCUAAUAAAACAAAA